UAGGGAAUAUUGGACAAUGGGCGCAAGCCUGAUCCAGCCAUGCCGCGUGAGUGAAGAAGGCCCUCGGGUUGUAAAGCUCUUUUGUCCGGAAAGAAAAGCAUCGGGUUAAUACCCCGGUGUUCUGACGGUACCGGAAGAAUAAGCACCGGCUAACUUCGUGCCAGCAGCCGCGGUAAUACGAAGGGUGCAAGCGUUACUCGGAAUUACUGGGCGUAAAGCGUGCGUAGGUGGUUCGUUAAGUCCGAUGUGAAAGCCCUGGGCUCAACCUGGGAAUGGCAUUGGAAACUGGCGGACUGGAGUGCGGUAGAGGGUAGCGGAAUUCCCGGUGUAGCAGUGAAAUGCGUAGAGAUCGGGAGGAACAUCCGUGGCGAAGGCGACUGCCUGGACCAGCACUGACACUGAGGCACGAAAGCGUGGGGAGCAAACA
rnacentral:rRNA from 1 species